rnacentral:lncRNA from 1 species
CAUGCCUGUAAUCCCAGCACUUUGGGAGGCCGAGGUGGGUGGAUUGCCUGAGGUCAGGAGUUCGAGACCAGCCUGGCCAAUGUGGUGAAACCCCAUCUCUACUAAAAAUACAAAAAUUAGCUGGGUGUGGUGGCACAUGCCUGUAAUCUCAGCUACUCAGGAGGUUGACGCAGGAGAAUCACUUGAACCUGGAAGGCAGAGGUUGUAGUGAGCUGAGAUCAUGUCACUGUAUUCCAGCCUGGGCAACAAGAGCGAAACUCUGUCUGAAAAAACCAAAAACCAAAACAAACAAACAAAACAGGUAAUGACAGCAAGAUUGGCCGACAGGAGUGACAGUGAGGAGGAGAGUCUGGCACACCCCUUGUUCCCAGCCUGGUAAGCUGCCCAGCGAUGCUGGAAUCGGGAGUUUGGAUGAAAACGGCUCUCACUGUCACCUUCCAGCCCUCCUCACUUUACCCACCCUCUGCCUGG